rfam:Agaricus bisporus var. burnettii JB137-S8 unplaced genomic scaffold AGABI1scaffold_8, whole genome shotgun sequence.
GCUGGGAUGGCCGAGUCGUUAAGGCGAGUGAUUUGAAUGGACAACGUCUUCCCCAAUAUCACUUGGUGUUUCACCGCGUAGGUUCAAAUCCUGCUUCCAGCG